CUCAUUAUCUGGUGUUGCUGUGGCUGUGUCAUAGGCCAGCAACUGCCCCUCCAAUUCAACCCCUAGCCUGGAACUUCCAUAUACCACAGGUGUGGCCCUAAAAAGCAAAAAAAAAAAAAAAAAAAGUUUGAAGAAAAAUAAGAUAAUGUCUAUUGCUUAUCACAUUGUCUGGCACAUAUCAAACAGCACAGAUCCUUUCUACAGAAGACACAACACAGCACGGGAUUCAUCAUAGACUUUGGCACUUUUUAAUUUAUGUGGAUUGAUUUUGGUAUCUGCUUUUGUAUUACAUCAUUUUUUCCCCAAUGUGAAGCAAAUCAUAGUGUUUCAACUUACCAAUGCUCUGUUUAGGAAACAAGUGGUACUAUGUUGGAACUAAACAGAACAGCAUAUAGUCUUGCUGUGAUGUUCAUGGUUAAAAGAGAGAAGCUAAAGCCUAUGUUUGCCAAAGACCAGAUGGAAUGUUUCUACUUGUUUCUGUUCAUUUCACAGCCCAGACGAGAUUGAAACAGAAUCAUCAGGGUCUCCAAACGAAGAGAACUCUAUGUUGACUUCUGAUUUAUUGAUUCCUUCCAUUAUUCCAGCUUUUGGGCUUAAAUGUUAGAGAAUGGAAUGGUUUUGUUGAUGUUUCCUGUAAUGGUCCCUUGCCCUCAUAGAUGCAUACUAUUUAAACAGGAAACCUGCCCUUUUAGCACUGAAAUAAAUACAACUGGAGAAGAACCACCCACAAGCAGCUUUCUAAUGAAGCCCCUCAAACCAUGACUUUCCUGCUACAUGGGCCAAGGAAGACAAACAUAGCUGUGAGAAGAAAAAGCUGACUCUCCUUUCUAUUGGAACUGCGCAUAUUUUUAAUUCAAAGAAUUUUGGUAAAUUCUGUUGCUCCAAGGUCACCUCCAGGGAAUUUGGAGCUUUUCUUUCCGGUCAACCUAAAUAUUUCCCAUUUUCUUCCUUGUAAGAAAUUUUCAUCUCUAAUUCUCAUGUGUUGUCUAUUAAGAAAACACACACAUGGAAUGCAGACUCCCUAUAUUUCAAACAUUUCUAGCUUUCAAGGAUGGGGGAAGAAUUAAACAAGGGAGAAGGCUGGCUUCCAGCAAUAACACAGCUUUAAUAAAUACAUGAAAUAUUUAUAGAACACAUAAAGAACAAAGGAAAUAGAACACUUCCUCUGUGUAUGAUUUCCCUCCAUGUUUCCAGUCAGCCAGGUCUCUUGCCACAGUUUUUUUUCUGUGAGAUGUCUACUAAGCAACAAUGAGUGAGAUGUACCUGGUUAAUGUACUUUCAACAUAUGGUAUCUCCUAAUUUUCAAAAAGAAUCUCAGAUGUUAUGAUGACUGCAUUAACAUUUUCAUUCUGAAAUGAAUGAACAUUUUUUUUUUUUGGAGGACUUACACUCAGAAAUCUAAGGCCUUUAGUAAGUUGUAACUCUUUGGAGACACCAUAUAAAUUUUAACCCAGAACAAUAAUAAACCUUGUUGAAAUAUUGCAAGUAUUUUUAGUUAUUAGAAUUAGGUAGGUAUCUACAUAGUUUAAGAAAUUGGAGGACAAUUAUUUUUCUCAAAGAGAAAGUGGCAACAUCUCCAAAGCUCCCACCUAGGGAUGUUCUUAUUUCACAAGAAAUUAGUUUAAAAAGGCUUUGCAAAGGGAAUUAUUUAUUUAAUUAGCAACAAAAAAGUUAACCGAUUUUUGUGAUGAGAAAGACAAAAUUAAAGCACAACAGAGAUCUACAGAUACAUACUCCCCACUGCAAUAGCAGAAUGAGUGGGAAUCUCCCUUAUAUUUCAUUCACCAUAAACCUUUCCCAAAGUUGUAUCUCUUGUCCUACCUUCCCAACACUGAGGUCCUACAUUUAUGCACUGUCUUUAAAAUAUUUAUAUUUAAUAAUUAAUUGUUAUAAUGCAGGCUCACUUUUAUUGUACCAGGAGCUGUGCUAAGUGCUUUGUACACAUUUUGUAUUCAGAAUAGCCCUAUUAUACUGGUGCAAAUAUUAUUCUUCAUAAUAAUAUAAGAAGACUGAUAUUUGAGCAUUUUAAAUUAUUUGACCAACAUCACAAAGGGAAGAAGAAAGGCUUGCAUGCACCUAGAUACUUCCUCCAUAUGCAUGCCUACCCAGCUGGGACCAUGGUGAAAAUGCAGAUGGCAUUUCUGUGUAUUAAUUUUGUAUCCUGCGACUUUGCCAANCAGAAUGAGUCUUUAGGGUUCUCUAGGUAUAGUAUCAUGUCGUCUGCAAAUAGUGGUAGUUUCACUUCUUCCUUUCCAAUUUGGAUUCCUUUUAUCUCUUUUACUUCUCUGAUUUCUGUUGCUAGGAAUUCCAAAAAAUAUCUUUCUUUUUGGCUUGAAAAUCAAAACUGAGAUUUCUGUCUCCAGAUGACAACAAUUAAAAAACAUUAACUAUACCAGCAAAAGUAGUAGCCAGGAUUGUGGCUGAUGUUACGGAAAUUGACAGAAUGAACCACCAAACAAAUGAGGAUAGGGGUGGCAUCCCCAGGGCCGUGUGGACAUAACUUGAAAGAACUAUGGGAAAACCCAGAGAAUUCAUUUCUCCAAAGAUUCCAGUGACCCUGUCAUUUCAAGGGACCACAGACCAUUGCUUAGAACUGUAAGAAACUUACUUGUCUUUAGUUGGCAGGUUUCCUUAAGAGUGAAAACAUUGGGAGGUAUGGUGUGUGUGUGUCUGUGUGUGUGUUCUGAGAAUAAGAGAGGUAAACACAUUAUUAAAUAAGAAAAGUGGAAAUUAUGUCCUAACAGAAGCCUUUUGCUUCAUACAAUGUGAACUGAUAGGGCAAAAAUAAAGCUUUGUAGUUAAAACAGGCAGUGCUCAGUUUUGGAUGAGGCUAGAGGAAACUGAAGUCAGCUCUGCACAGAAGGUAACAGACAUGUGUGAAUCAUGAAGAGUAAAUAUAAGAGAGAAGGAAAACAAAACAAAACAAAACAAACAAAACACCAAAAACCAAAAAACCACAGUGCCGUUAGCUUCAUUGUCUGUAAUUUUCUCCUAGCUAGUCUUUGCUCGUGUCUGUCAGCUCUGAAGAGGUCUAUUUUGAAAUGUAGUCUGUAAAGCCUGUUAAGUAGGAUUAGUUCAGAGAAGUUCCCAGGAAUGACAAAAGACUGAAAACAUGAGAGUUAUGGGGCCCCACCCCAGGAUUGCUGGGUUGUAGAAACAUCUAGGAAACCAAAGCAUGCCAGAUGUAGACUCUACCUAUUGAAUGACUUCUUGGUUUUGGUCAGUCCAUGUUGUACAUAAUACUUUAUAGAGAACAUUAAAUUACAUUAAGCCAAGACUUCCCCAGAGAGGAGAAAAAAGGGGAAAUAAAACAAAAAGGGAAAAGAAUAAUGUAAUGUAAUGUCAGGUAAAGGUUGAUGCCACAAUUACUUACUCAGAGGCUACUAGGAAACCCUUUAAGGGUUUUUUUUGGUUGUUGUUGUUGGCUUUGAGCAGUUUGAGAAAUAAUUGUGAUUGAUUGUUAUUUUAUGAGAAAAACUAUUACAUCCAUAUAAAUAACAAUCUAUUCAAUUUUAUUCCAAUAGAUCAAAAUAAAACCCAAUUAAAAUCACCAACAGGUAGGUGGAAAACUGACAUAGACAGUAGUUCUAUGAUCCCAAGAUUUCUUUAGUUGAAUUGGCAAAGUAUCAGGUGGGUAUUUAAAAGGCACAUGUUGACUAAAUUAGAACCACAACAUUUUACUAGGUGGCCAAAUAAACUACUUUGCAAUAUUUGUUGAAUGAAUUAAAUUAGUUCUGCGUCCUUUAACUCAAAAUUUUGUAUCUUUUAACCUGAGUUUUCUUGGGUCUCAUUAGAAAAUUCACCAUUCCUUUUUCUAUAUAACAUAUUUUUGCUAAGGAACCAAAACAUAUUUAAACUACAUUCAACUGCAUAAACAAAACUGAGAUUGAAAUACAUUUUUAGCAUUAUUUCUGCAAGUAUAAAUACGUAACACACUUUUAGAAGUCUUCAGUAGCAACUAUUUUUAAGGGGUAUGAUAAGAUUUGAUUUUGAGUAAAUUAGAUCUUGUAACUUCAAAACUGAAAUAGGUUUGGCAUUUUCCCAUCACUGGCAACUGCCCAUGUUAUUAAAUAAGAAACCUGAGAACUAUAUUUUCCAUGAAAUUUAUGAAAUGCCCACAAGUGGCAUUAAAUGAUUCUUGGCAUGUCUAUGCAGUCUUGAGUUCUUUUGCCUGAAAUGCUAUCCACAAACAAAUGAUGCCAAUUUGCCUAUAUGCACUUCAACCCCCAGUCUCACUUUUUUCCCUUCAAGAACAUGUACUUGAGAUCAGUCCCAAGGAGGUUUCCAUCAAGGUCAUAUUUCAAAAAAUAUAUAUGCCAUACACUACAUAUGUGUGUGUUUUAAUAUAAUCCAAAUUCUCCCUUCCAUGGAGUAGUACUAGCAAAUUAUAUUAUUCUAGGUCACUGAAUAUUUUCCAUAACUGAUAAGGCUCUGCUGUUCCUAUCUGCUUCUAUGGAAAACAUAAAUGAUUUUAAAUAACAUUUAUUUUAAAACAUUCACUUUGUCUAUUAUGUGCCUAAGAAACAAGAUGCAAUCCCUACUCUCAAGUUCAUACUCUUGUUGGGAGACAGUAAAUAGGUCAUUAAAAUGCAGUAGAACAAGAAUGGUGACAGAAGUAUGAAUGAAUCAAUAUAAGAGUUCAGAAGAGAAGUGUUAGAGAAUAAAAGAUGCUUAAUGUUCACUGAAAUAUCUGAAACCACAGUAAGAAUAUUGAAAAUUUAAAUUAUGAUUUGUCAAUAUAUGUUAGAACAAGGUUAAAUUCACCAAUUAACUAGAUGACUUUGAGGAAUUUUCUCAUCUUUGACACCUUUAUUUUUAAAAUAGCACCAGCAGUAUCUACUACAAAGGAUUUUGCUAAAUAUUAAGUGCUAGGCCUUUUGCUUAUAAGAAAUUCUAUAUUUCUUCUCAAACUUGUAUUCAUAUAGAAGUAAUAGAAAUUAACCUUACAUAUAUGCUUAAAUAUCAGGGAAACAAUAUAAAUAUUAUGAGACCCAAGAUAAACCAUUUUAUUUAUCUUUUAGUGAUUUUAUAUUGAAUGAAUCUGUCUUUAAAAAGUAAAUGAGGAGUUCCUGUCAUGGCUUGGCGGUCAACGAACCUGACCGACUAGCAACCAUGAGGUCCUGUGUUCAAUCCCUGGCCUUGCUCAGUGGGUUAAGGAUCUGGCAUUGUCAUGAGCUGUGGUGUAGGUAGCAGAUCNAGGCUUAGAUACAGCAUUGCUGUGGCUGAGGUGUAGACUGGCAGCUGUAGCUCCAGUUGGACCCCUAGCCUGGGAACCUCCAUAUGCCGCAGGUGCGGCCCUAAAAAGAGCCCCCCCAAAAUUAAAUGAGUCACAGAAAAAUAUCAGGGAUAACACUGUAUCUCAAGUCGAUGUUUACAUGAAUGUUAUUUUUUUAAAGGUAUUUCAACUUACUUUAUUAGGAUUCAAGGAAGUCAACAUGCUAACAGACUAGGAAACAUAUUUUUGCAAAACACGGAGAUCAUCUCCUAAAUACUACUGAAUAUUAUAAAUAAGUAUUUUCUUAUUUCUUGAAUGUUAUUAUUCUUAAACUAUUCAUAACAGCAGUUUUGCAAAUAUACUCUAGGUUCAUUAAUUUCUCAAAAAAUUAUGGAAUCAAUAGUUUAGGAUUCAAAGAGACCUUCUGUUUAAGAAGACGGAUCACUUUGUUAUUUAAUGUAAGAUUUGCUAAGAAAAAAAAUUUGAAGCUCACACAUAUGAAGAUUUUGUAAGCAAAUAUUGCCUAGGAUAUCUUAGGUACAGAAAAAGGUGUAAAGUAUGGGUAGACAUGGUCCCUGCCCUCCUGGAAUUGGUGUGUAUAUGGCGGAGUGCCAAAGGCAGAACAUAGGUAAUAAAGAGGUAGUGAGAUCAUUUGACAUGGAUUAAAUACAGAACUAAACAGAUACAUGACUGUUGAUUUUCUCAGGGAAAUCUUGUUCAUUUCUGCUUCUAUACUUGCCCCUCUCUAAUCCAUUUUCUACACGUUGGUCACAAGGUCCUUUAAAAAUAUUUAUUGUGUCAUGCAAACUUCUUGCGAAAAAUCCUAUGAUCAAAUGGAUUCAAUGAAUCCUUUCACUGAACUUAGGAAAAAGACUAAAAUCAGUGCUUUGUUCUAUAAGCCGUUUCAUAAUGUGGGCUCUGCUUAUUUCUCCAGUCUUGUUUAUAAAAACUUUUUUCCCUCUUAUUAGGCUUGAGCUCACAUAACUGUCCAUUCUUCAUAGGUCAAGACUGAUUCUGCCUCAGGUGUUUACAUUAUUAUUCCUCCUGCUUUUUUAAUCUGAAAUUUAAACAUUUUCUCAUGUAAUUAAAUACUUUCAACAAUAUGACUUUUAAGAUAUAUGCGGUAAUUUAUCACAUUUUAAAGUAAUCAUUGAGGGGGCACCUUUAGUAUCUGUCACCUAGAGAAGAGUCUCCUUAUGAUAAAUUUCCCUUUAUCAAUUUUCCAUUGCUUUCAACUCAUAAUUUGCAUGGAGUUGUUUCUACUCUAAGGGCCUAAGGGCAGCGCCUACUGGUUUUAAACUAAGCAAGAUAUCUCUGUCACCUGGCCACAAAAUUGUUCAAGGAGGACAUCUGAAUGUUCUGAGUCAAUAUAUGGUAGGCACAGAAAUACUGUUCUGGGACCACCUUACAAAAGUAAAGAA
rnacentral:lncRNA from 1 species